GAUGAACGCUGGCGGCGUGCCUAAUACAUGCAAGUCGAGCGAACGGACGAGAAGCUUGCUUCUCUGAUGUUAGCGGCGGACGGGUGAGUAACACGUGGAUAACCUACCUAUAAGACUGGGAUAACUUCGGGAAACCGGAGCUAAUACCGGAUAAUAUUUUGAACAGCAUGGUUCAAAAGUGAAAGACGGUCUUGCUGUCACUUAUAGAUGGAUCCGCGCUGCAUUAGCUAGUUGGUAAGGUAACGGCUUACCAAGGCAACGAUGCAUAGCCGACCUGAGAGGAUGAUCGGCCACACUGGAACUGAGACACGGUCCAGACUCCUACGGGAGGCAGCAGUAGGGAAUCUUCCGCAAUGGGCGAAAGCCUGACGGAGCAACGCCGCGUGAGUGAUGAAGGUCUUCGGAUCGUAAAACUCUGUUAGUAGGGAAGAACAUAUGUGUAAGUAACUGUGCACAUCUUGACGGUACCUAAUCAGAAAGCCACGGCUAACUACGUG
rnacentral:rRNA from 1 species